CGCGUAGGCGGCUUUGCAAGUCAGAUGUGAAAGCCCCGGGCUUAACUCGGGAAUUGCAUCUGAAACUGCUUUGCUUGAGUCCUGGAGGGGAUAGUGGAAUUCCCAGUGUAGCGGUGAAAUGCGUAGAUAUUGGGAGGAACACCUGCGGCGAAGGCGGCUAUCUGGACAGUGACUGACGCUGAGGCGCGAAAGCUAGGGGAGCGAACGGGAUUAGAUACCCCGGUAGUCCUAGCUGUAAACGAUGGGCACUUGGUGUUGGGGGUAUUGAGUCCCUCGGUGCCGGAGUUAACACGUUAAGUGCCCCGCCUGGGGAGUACGGUCGCAAGACUGAA
rnacentral:rRNA from 1 species